ACCCCGAGUGCGAGGGCAUACAGUCCUCGCUUUUGUGUACCGUAGGGAGGUACACGAAUAAGGGCUGGGCAAGACCGGUGCCAGCCGCCGCGGUAAUACCGGCAGCUCAAGUGAUGGCCGCUGUUAUUGGGCCUAAAGCGUCCGUAGCCGGCCGCACAAGUCCGUCGGGAAAUCCACCCGCCUAACGGGUGGGCGUCCGGCGGAAACUGAGCGGCUUGGGACCGGAAGACUCGAGGGGUACGUCCGGGGUAGGAGUGAAAUCCUGUAAUCCUGGACGGACCGCCGGUGGCGAAAGCGCCUCGAGAGGACGGAUCCGACGGUGAGGGACGAAAGCUAGGGUCUCGAACCGGAUUAGAUACCCGGGUAGUCCUAGCCGUAAACGAUGCUCGCUAGGUGUGGCGCAGGCUACGAGCCUGCGCUGUGCCGUAGGGAAGCCGUGAAGCGAGCCGCCUGGGAAGUACGUCCGCAAGGAUGAAACUUAAAGGAAUUGGCGGGGGAGCACUACAACCGGAGGAGCCUGCGGUUUAAUUGGACUCAACGCCGGACAUCUCACCAGCACCGACAGUAGUCGUGACAGUCAGGUUGAUGAUCUUACUCGAGCUACUGAGAGGAGGUGCAUGGCCGCCGUCAGCUCGUACCGUGAGGCGUCCUGUUAAGUCAGGCAACGAGCGAGACCCGCACCCCUAGUUGCCAGCAGCACGUACAUCGUGGCUGGGUACACUAGGGGGACUGCCGCCGCCAAGGCGGAGGAAGGAACGGGCAACGGUAGGUCAGUAUGCCCCGAAUGUGCUGGGCUACACGCGGGCUACAAUGGCCGGGACAGUGGGAUGCGACCCCGAGAGGGGGAGCUAAUCUCCUAAACCCGGUCGUAGUUCGGAUUGAGGGCUGAAACUCGCCCUCAUGAAGCUGGAUUCGGUAGUAA
rnacentral:rRNA from 1 species